AAAAAAUUAGUUAAAAAAUAAUAUCAAUUUGUCAAAUUGAAGUUAAUAAAAAAUUAUUUUUUU
rnacentral:tRNA from 1 species